GUGGGCUGGGUGCGAGCAGCCGGGGGAAUCGGAGGUCCCCAAGCGUGUUUUGGGUUCACCGGGCGGAAAGGGUGCGUAGGUGGGGGGGGAAGUCGGAGUGGAAAUCUCCGAGCUCAACUCGGAAAUGUCAUUGGAAACUACCCUGCUGGAGGGGCGGAGGGGGGACUGGAAGUCUCGGUGGAGCAGUGAAAGGCGUAGAUAUCGAGAGGAACACCAGUGGCGAAGGCGAGUCCCUGGACGACUCCUGACACUGAGGCACGAAAGCUAGGGGAGCAAACAGGAUUAGAUACCCUGGUAGUC
rnacentral:rRNA from 1 species